rnacentral:rRNA from 1 species
AUACGGAGGGUCCAAGCGUUAUCCGGAAUCAUUGGGUUUAAAGGGUCCGCAGGCGGUCAAUUAAGUCAGAGGUGAAAGCCCAUCGCUCAACGAUGGAACUGCCUUUGAUACUGGUUGACUUGAGUUAUACGGAAGUAGAUAGAAUAAGUAGUGUAGCGGUGAAAUGCAUAGAUAUUACUUAGAAUACCGAUUGCGAAGGCAGUCUACUACGUAUAUACUGACGCUGAGGGACGAAAGCGUGGGAGCGAACAGGAUUAGAAACCCUAGUAGUCC